UUCUACAUUCUCAUUCAAGCCACAAAGCUCUUCCUUCCCCCCUUCAAAAAAACCCACACCCAAACAAAGAAAAACCCACAUUCAUCAUCUCUCUAAGUUCUUAAAAUUUCAUUUGUGGAGCUGUAGGAGCUUAACUUUAUUUGUGUAAUCGCCAUCAUUAUUUGAAGAGAUGGGAGAAAUGACUAGCUUUCAGUUGGGUGUGGUGGGAGCACUGUUCCUAUCUGUGGCAUCUUCAGUUUCUAUUGUUAUUUGCAACAAAGCUUUGAUGAGUAAUCUUGGUUUUCCCUUUGCCACAACAUUAACAAGUUGGCAUCUAAUGGUGACAUAUUGCACACUCCACGUGGCACUGAAAUUCAAUUUCUUUGAAAACAAGCCUAUUGAUAUGAAGACUGUGAUGCUUUUUGGUAUCUUAAAUGGUGUAUCCAUUGGCUUUCUCAACCUUAGCCUUGGCUUUAAUUCCAUUGGCUUCUAUCAGGUAUAAAUCAAUGUCAAACUAUUACU